GCCGGGUGCAGUGGCGCACACCUAUAAUCCCAGCAGCUCUGGAGGCUGAGGCAGGAGGAUGGCAAGUUCAAAGCCAGUCUCAGCAACUUAGUGAGGCCCUAAGCAACUCAGUGAGACCCUGUCUCUA
rnacentral:sRNA from 1 species